UGGGGGGAGCGGGCGAUUACUCUUUGUUGGCCUUGCUAACAAGGGGAGGAAAGUCCGGACUUCGCUAGUAUCUCAAUUUUUGAGACUUAAAUGAUAGUGGGUAACGCCCACCGGCUCGUUUCGGUUAUCGUCGGACGCGGCUAGGGAAAGUGCCACAGAGACAAUACUAAUCCUGCAAUUUUUUAACAGGAUAAAAGGUGAAAAGAGGCUAGGUGUUUCGCAAGAAGCUGCUGGUCUCGCUCUCCGGUGACGGAGAUAGCGCGGCAAACCCUAUCAGAAGCAAGAGCAAACUCUUUUUUAGCCAUCGGCUGAUUAAGAUGACAAGUGGCUCGCACGAGCUAACUAGUAAUAGUUAGCCUAGAUAAAUGAUCGCUUAAAACAGAAUCCGGCUUACAGCUACCCCAAUAAC
rnacentral:RNase_P_RNA from 1 species